rnacentral:rRNA from 1 species
UAAAGGCUCACCAAGCCAACGAUCUGUAGCUGGUCUGAGAGGACGACCAGCCACACUGGAACUGAGACACGGUCCAGACUCCUACGGGAGGCAGCAGUGGGGAAUUUUUGGACAAUGGACGCAAGUCUGAUCCAGCCAUUCCGCGUGCAGGAUGAAGGCCCUCGGGUUGUAAACUGCUUUUUGUACGGAACGAAAAAGGUUUUCUCUUAAAUACGAGGAGCUCAUGACGGUACCGUAAGAAUAAGCACCGGCUAACUACGUG